UACGUAGGUGGCAAGCGUUGUCCGGAUUUACUGGGCGUAAAGGGCGUGCAGGCGGUUUGUUAAGUGCAGGGUGAAAGCUCCCGGCUCAACUGGGAGAGGUCCUUGCAUACUGGCGAACUCGAGGGAGGCAGAGGAAAGUGGAAUUCCCGGUGUAGUGGUGAUAUGCGUAGAUAUCAGGAGGAACACCUGUGGCGAAAGCGGCGCACUGGACCACAACUGACGCUGAGGCGCGAAAGCUAGGGGAGCAAACAGG
rnacentral:rRNA from 1 species